rnacentral:rRNA from 1 species
AUCUUCCACAAUGGGCGAAAGCCCGAUUGCACAACUCCGCGUGGGUUAAAGAGGGUCUCCGGUCGUUAAACUCCGUUGUAAGGGAAGAACGGGCUCAGUACUAACUGGCUGUAGCUUGACGGUUCCUUAUUAAAAAGCCACGGCUAACUACGUUCCCGCAGCCGCGGUAAUACGAAGGGGGCAAGCGUUUUCCGGAAUUAUUGGGCGUAAAGCGCGCGCAGGUGGUUCAGUAAGACGGAUGUGAAAGCCCACGGCUCAACCGUGGAGGGUCAUUGGAAACUGGUGGACUUGAGUACGGAAGAGGAAAGCGGAAUUCCACGUGUAGCGGUGAAAUGCGUAGAGAUGGGGAGGAACACCAGUGGCGAAGGCGGCUUUCUGGUCUGUAACUGACGCUGAGGCGCGAAAGCGUGGGGAGCAAACA